rnacentral:rRNA from 1 species
GAGUAAUGUCUGGGAAACUGCCUGAUGGAGGGGGAUAACUACUGGAAACGGUAGCUAAUACCGCAUAACGUCGCAAGACCAAAGAGGGGGACCUUCGGGCCUCUUGCCAUCGGAUGUGCCCAGAUGGGAUUAGCUUGUUGGUGGGGUAACGGCUCACCAAGGCGACGAUCCCUAGCUGGUCUGAGAGGAUGACCAGCCACACUGGAACUGAGACACGGUCCAGACUCCUACGGGAGGCAGCAGUGGGGAAUAUUGCACAAUGGGCGCAAGCCUGAUGCAGCCAUGCCGCGUGUAUGAAGAAGGCCUUCGGGUUGUAAAGUACUUUCAGCGGGGAGGAAGGGAGUAAAGUUAAUACCUUUGCUCAUUGACGUUACCCGCAGAAGAAGCACCGGCUAACUCCGUGCCAGCAGCCGCGGUAAUACGGAGGGUGCAAGCGUUAAUCGGAAUUACUGGGCGUAAAGCGCACGCAGGCGGUUUGUUAAGUCAGAUGUGAAAUCCCCGGGCUCAACCUGGGAACUGCAUCUGAUACUGGCAAG